rnacentral:rRNA from 1 species
UGGGGAAUAUUGGACAAUGGGCGGAAGCCUGAUCCAGCCAUGCCGCGUGUGUGAAGAAGGCCUUUUGGUUGUAAAGCACUUUAAGCGAGGAUGAGGCUACUUGGAUUAAUACUCUAGGAUAGUGGACGUUACUCGCAGAAUAAGCACCGGCUAACUCUGUGCCGGCAGCCGCGGUAAUACAGAGGGUGCGAGCUUUAAUCGGAUUUAUUGGGCGUAAAGCGUGCGUAGGCGGCUUCUUAAGUCGGAUGUGAAAUCCCUGAGCUUAACUUAGGAAUUGCAUUCGAUACUGGGAAACUAGAGGAUGGGAGAGGAUGGUAGAAUGCCAGGUGUGGCGGUGAAAUGCGUAGAGAUCUGGAGGAAUACCGAUGGCGAAGGCAGCCAUCUGGCCUAAUACUGACGCUGAGGUACGGAAGCAUGGGGAGCAAACAGG